AGGUGAAAAGCACCCCGGAAGGGGAGUGAAAUAGAUCCUGAAACCGUGUGCCUACAAGUAGUCAAAGCCCGUUAAUGGGUAAUGGCGUGCCUUUUGUAGAAUGAACCGGCGAGUUACGAUUUCAUGCGAGGUUAAGUUGAUGAGACGGAGCCGCAGCGAAAGCGAGUCUGAAUAGGGCGAAUGAGUAUGAGGUCGUAGACCCGAAACCAGGUGAUCUACCCAUGUCCAGGGUGAAGUUCAGGUAACACUGAAUGG
rnacentral:rRNA from 1 species